GUGAAUAGAUAAGAUUUUUUAAAAAAAUCUAAAAGAUGUUAUCAAAUUAACAUCAUUCAUUCAAGUCAUUGUUUAUUUACUUAUUACUAUCCUCCUCAUCUAGCUAACCUUAUUUAUUAAGUGACUUGACCAUUUUUACCCCUGUGAACUGAAAUUAAGCCCAGGCGCAUGCAUUUUAUCACUGAGCUGUACCUCCACCCCUACCUUUAUUUUUGCAUAGCAUUUAGUCUUAAAUUUCAAGUUAAAAAAGUCCAGUUACUUUUUACAUAUAUUUACUAAUUAUGUGCUUAUUCUGUCUCUUAAAAGUCUUGCUGUAGUGUAAAACAUUUAUAAUCCAAGUAAAACCGUGUUUAUUAUUGGCACAUCUUACUAAUACUGCAAAUUGGUCUGAUUUGAAGAUGGAAAUUAUAAUGCUUUAGUUACUGAUGUCUUAAACCUUUUUUCUUUGAGACUCAUUUAGUUCAGAGACAUGGCUGCAGCCUUGUUUGCUAUUAAACUGUAGUUGCACAAGUAACAUACAUAAUAGUGUCAUGUAUUAUAUAAUAUAUUGUUAUUAUUACAAAUGACAAGCUGCGGGUCUGAGUGAUAGCUCAGCAGUUAAGAGCACUGGAUGCUCUUCUAGACGACCCGGGUUUAAUUCCCAACACCCACAUGACAGCUCACAGCUGCAGUCUCAGGGGAUCCGACGUCCUCACCCAGGCACACACGCAGGCAAAACAUCAGUGCACGUAAAAUUAAAAUAAAAAAGCCAGGCAAUCUGCAUUGUCUCCAGUCAGGCCAGUGAUUUCUGUCCUCUGUUACAGGAGUCCAGUUACUCGCUCUUCUAGUGCCCACUUUGAUCUCUUACCUGCUGGAUGAAAAUUCUUUUGCCUCAGCAAGUUCGAUCUCCAAAGAUCUUCAUGAGUUUGCACUGCAGAACUUAAUGCAUAUUGGACCUCUGUACCCACAUGCUUUCAAGACGGUAAUGGGGGCUGCUCCUGAACUGAAAGCACGACUAGAAACUGCUGUCCGAGCAAGCCAGGCGAGCAAAGCUAAAGCCGCUGCCAGGCAGCCCGCCCCCACCACACAUUCCACACCGACAAUUAAGCUGAAAACAAGCUUUUUUUAGUGUGCUUUUCCGCUCAUCUGUAUUUAUUUAUUUUCUCAAACAUUUACCACUUUUUAGAAUAAUACCAACAUUCACAUACUGUAUUACAAUGGUACCACAAUAUAAAAUAAAAUAUGUAUAAACUGACACACAGAGCAUUCAUACAGUACAUUCUUUUUUUUCAACAUGUAUUUAUUUAAUAUACAUUGUUAAAAUUAAAUCAAGCAGAUUUAAUUUCAAAACAAAAAUAACAACACAGCUUAGAAAUCAAGGAGAAAGGACAGAUCGUCUCAGAAAAAAGACGACACAAAAGAGGGGUGGACAGCUUGCAUGAGUGAUCUUGGCUGGAGACCUGCUUUGAAUAGGUUUCUUGCAGGUACUUAAACGCUGUGGGGUUUUUCCAGCGCUCCACAGCGUGUGUGUUCAAAGGGCUAUCAAUGUUGGGUUUCUCCUAGCAGGCUCUGGAUAGAGAGCAAGAUGGUCCUGACAUCAUAUAGUGCAGACCACUUAUCCUUGAGGAUGUCCAGGCAGAUGUUGCCCUGGGUGUCCACGCUGGGGUGGUAGCAGGGUGUGAGGAACUUCACUGUGGGUGAUGUAAGGGAGCCACUGGGGAACUCUAGGGAGAGUUUAUACCUCAGGUCUUCAUGUACGGUGCCUGCUGCUCCGUGGAUGGUCCCUACCCAUCUGAACAGGCUGUCUGAUUCAGGGAAGGCAGAGAUUCCUUUGUCACCAGAGGUCAGGAGGGUCAUCAGUUCCUGCUGUAGCCGCUUGCCCACAGGGCCCUGGGCGGCGCCCCCUGCAGGGCUCGCUGGCAGCAACUGGGUCCCGGUUUUGUGAGGCUAUCCCAGAGGUGCUGGCGCUGAGACAGGAGUGUGGAGACGAAAGGGCAACUGCUGUACAUUACAUUCUUAUUACAGAUUAAGACGUGACACUUCUAAUCUUGUAAAAAUGUACUCAAGGUCACCAUAACUUGUUAUUUUUAAAAAGUGUGUGCUUUGCAUUACAUGAUAAUUCUUUGGUUUUAUUUAAAAUCAUCGUACUUAUAAAAUCAAGUAGCUUUUCU
rnacentral:lncRNA from 1 species